UGGUGGCAGCUUGGUAGCCGUAUGUGUGGCGCCAUUUACUUGAAUCUUUAGAAGUGACAUCACAUGUACGGCAGCUAAUCUGCUACACAGAA
rnacentral:pre_miRNA from 13 species